AAUGAACGUUGGCGGCGUGGAUUAGGCAUGCAAGUCGAGCGAGAACCCCGCAAGGGGGGACAGCGGCGAAAGGGACAGUAAUGUGUAGAUUAUCUGCCCUCAGGUCCGGGAUAGCUGCGGGAAACUGCAGGUAAUACCGGAUAACAUCUCCGGAUCAAAGGUGUGAUUCCGCCUGAGGAUGAGUCUGCAUCCUAUUAGCUAGUUGGUGGGGUAAUGGCCUACCAAGGCAUUGAUGGGUAGCAGGUGUGAGAGCACGACCUGCGUCAUUGGGACUGAGACACUGCCCAGACACCUACGGGUGGCUGCAGUCGAGAAUCUUCGGCAAUGGGCGCAAGCCUGAACGAGCGACGCCGCGUGUGGGAUGAAGGCCUUCGGGUUGUAAACCACUGUCAGAGGGGAUGAAAUGCAGGUGGGUUCUCCCAUCUGUUUGACAUAGCCUCAGAGGAAGGACGGGCUAAGUUCGUG
rnacentral:rRNA from 1 species